rnacentral:tRNA from 1 species
ACUCAUUUAGCUCAGCAGGUAGAGCAUUGGUCUUAUGAGCCAAGGGUCCUGGGUUCAAACCCCAGAUUGAGUA